GACAGAGGUGCCAAGCGUUAGGCGGAAUCACUGGGCUUAAAGCGUGUGUAGGCGGAAUUGUAAGUACCUUGUGAAAUUCCCUCGGCUUAACCGGGGAACUGCGUCUGAUACUGGAGGGCUUGAGUUUGGGAGAGGGAUGCGGAAUUCCAGGUGUAGCGGUGAAAUGCGUAGAUAUCUGGAGGAACACCGGUGGCGAGGGCGGCAUCCUGGACCAACACUGACGCUGAGGAGCGAAAGCCAGGGGAGCAAACGGG
rnacentral:rRNA from 1 species